CGGACGGGUGAGUAUGUCUGGGAAACUGCCCGAGGGAGGGGGAUAACUACUGGAAACGGUAGCUAAUACCGCAUAACGUCGCAAGACCAAAGAGGGGGACCUUCGGGCCUCUUGCCAUCGGAUGUGCCCAGAUGGGAUUAGCUAGUAGGUGGGGUAACGGCUCACCUAGGCGACGAUCCCUAGCUGGUCUGAGAGGAUGACCAGCCACACUGGAACUGAGACACGGUCCAG
rnacentral:rRNA from 1 species